rnacentral:lncRNA from 10 species
AGGAUAGAGGCACUCUCCAUUCCUGAUUGUUCCAAGGCUCAAGUGGUCAGAAAUGACUGGGAAGAAGGGAGAAAAACUCAGGUGGCAAAGGACAUGGACGAAAACCCAUGGCGACAUGGAAAGAAAACCCUGUGAUAUAGAGAGGAAAAGCACAGGACAGCUUAUUGGGGAGAAUGGAACUCUUCUGUAUCCUGAUUGCGGUGAUGGCCACGCAUGGCUCUUUCAACCAGAAUUGUCUAGGAGAGGCAAAGAUAUAACCUGUUCAUCUGGUACCACUAUCACCCACAGAAUAUGAUAUGAGUUCUGAGCUUUUCC